rnacentral:rRNA from 1 species
UACGUAGGGUGCAAGCGUUAUCCGGAAUUAUUGGGCGUAAAGAGCUCGUAGGCGGUUUGUCGCGUCUGCUGUGAAAACCCGAGGCUCAACCUCGGGCCUGCAGUGGGUACGGGCAGACUAGAGUUCGGUAGGGGAGUCUGGAAUUCCUGGUGUAGCGGUGAAAUGCGCAGAUAUCAGGAGGAACACCGGUGGCGAAGGCGGGACUCUGGGCCGAUACUGACGCUGAGGCACGAAAGCGUGGGGAGCAAACAGG